rnacentral:rRNA from 1 species
UGGGGAAUAUUGCACAAUGGGCGCAAGCCUGAUGCAGCCAUGCCGCGUGUAUGAAGAAGGCCUUCGGGUUGUAAAGUACUUUCAGUCGGGAGGAAGGUGGUAAGGUUAAUAACCUUAUCAAUAGACGUUACCGACAGAAGAAGCACCGGCUAACUCCGUGCCAGCAGCCGCGGUAAUACGGAGGGUGCAAGCGUUAAUCGGAAUUACUGGGCGUAAAGCGCACGCAGGCGGUUGAUUGAGUCAGAUGUGAAAUCCCCGGGCUUAACCCGGGAAUUGCAUCUGAUACUGGUCAGCUAGAGUCUUGUAGAGGGGGGUAGAAUUCCAUGUGUAGCGGUGAAAUGCGUAGAGAUGUGGAGGAAUACCGGUGGCGAAGGCGGCCCCCUGGACAAAGACUGACGCUCAGGUGCGAAAGCGUGGGGAGCAAACAGG